rnacentral:lncRNA from 1 species
UGUUACUGAACGUGGAUGCUGUGCCCAUGCAGUGGAUGCAUUUUCCCACAAUGUGCAUGCAGUAUGUUUUGACGCAGCAUGCAGUGUCCCUGAAUGCGGAUACUGUGAAAAUGCAGUGGAUGCAGUGAUCAUGCAGUGAUUGCAGUGCACCUGCAUUUCCACAUCAGCUGGAAGCUGUGUCCCUGCAGGGGUUGCAGUGACGCCUUCUGUGUCCCUGAAGGUGAAUGCAGUACCCAUGCAGUGGAUGCAGUGUACCUAAAGGUUAAUGCAGUAUGUUGUGACGGAGGAUGCAGUGCCACUUCAGCUGGAAGCUGUGUCCCUGCAGCGGUUGCAGUGCCGCCUUCUCUGUCACUGAAGUUGAAUGCAGUGCCCAUGCAGUGGAGGCAGUGUCCCACAAUGUGCAUGCAGUAUGUUGUGACUGAGGAUGCACUGCCCAUGAAGGUGGAUGCAGUGAUCCUGCAGUGGUUGCAGUGCCCCCUGCAGUUUACCUGAAUGUGGAUGCAGUGCUCAUGCAGUGGAUGCAGUGUCCCUCAAGGUGGAUGACUUAUGAUGUGUUGGAGGAUUCAGUGACCAUGAAGGAGGAUGCAGUGAUCCUGCAGUGAUGGCAGUGUGCCUGCAGUGCCACUUCAGCUGGAUGCAGUGUUGCUGCAGUGGUUGCAGUGCCCCCUGCAUUGUCCGGGAAUGUGGGUGCAGUGCCCAGGCACUGGAUGCAGUGUCCCAGAAGGUGGAUGCAGUAUGUUAUGAUGGAUGAUGCAGUUCUCAUGAAGGUGGAUGCAGUGUCCCUGCAGUGCUUGCAGUGCCCCCCACAUUGUCCGGGAAUGUGGAUGCAGUAGUCAUGCAGUGGAUGCAGUGUCCCACAAGGUGGAUGCAGUAUGUUGUGAUGGAGGAUGCAGGGCCCAUGAAGGAGGAUG